AGUCAACGGGCUCACAUUUUGUAGCAAUACAUUUUGUGAAUCAGUGGCAGACGAGGUAGUAACACGUAGGGACCUACUUUUAAGACGGGAAUAAUUCGCCGAAAGGCGGACUAAUACUCGAUAAUAUCUUCGGAUUAAAGAAGCAAUUCGCUUAGAAAAGGACCUGCGGAGUAUCAGCUAGUUGGUAAGGUAACGGCUUACCAAGGCUAUGACGCUUAGGGGACCUGAGAGGGUGACCCCCACCGAUGGAACUGAGACACGGUCCAUACACCUACGGGUGGCAGUAGCCGAGAAUAUUCGACAAUGGAGGAAACUCUGAUCGAGCGACGCCGCGUGAUGGAUGAAGUCCCUCUGGGACGUAAACAUCUUUUAUAGAGGAGAAAGCUUCGGCUGAUAGUACUCUAAGAAUAAGGGGUUGCUAAACUCGUGCCAGCAGCAGCGGUAAUACGAGUGCCCCAAGCGUUAUCCGGAAUCAUUGGGCGUAAAGGGUGUGUAGGCGGUGUUGUUAGUCUUCUGUUAAAACUUCGGGCUCAACUCGAAGACUGCAGAGGAAACGGCAAUACUUGAGGAUGCGAGAGGUGAAUGGAACUCAUGGAGUAGGGGUGAAAUCCGUUGAUAUCAU
rnacentral:rRNA from 1 species